CCUGACUGACCCAGUGCUUCCCUGCGUGGUCCUGCAUGGCGUGGAAAUUCAUCAUGCAAUGGCCUUCAACCCAUCUGAACAUUUUCUCUGGCUACAGAAAAUGCCUGGGUCGUGCCCCGAAAUGAAUCUUCUUUUCAAAGAGAAACGGUAGGAUUUACAGCAGCCUACUCUAAAAGCCACCUUCGUCUACCACAGGCUCAGCCAUAAAGCAAGUCUCAGUAGAUUCAAAAGAAUUAAACUCAUACCAACCAUACUCUCAGACCACAGUGGACUAAAAUUAGAAAUCAACACCAAGAAGAUCUCUCAAAACCACACAAUUACAUGGAAAUUAAAUGACCUGCUCCUGAAUGACUUUUGGGUAAACAAUGAAAUUAAGGCAGAGAUCACAAAUUAUUUGAAAUAAGUGAAAACAGAGACAUAACAUACCAAAAUCUCUGAGAUGCAGCAAAAGCAGUGGUAAGAAGAAUGUUUAGAGUGCUAAAUGCCUACCUCAAAAAGUUAGAAAGAUCUCAUAUUAAUAAUCUUAUCACCACUCCUAGAGGAAGUAGAAAAACAAGAUCAAACCAACUCCAAAGUUAGCAAAAGAAAAGAAACAGCUAUAAAAUCAGAACAGAACAGAACAAAAUUGAGAUCCAAAAUCCAUACAAAGAAUCAAUGAAACCAAAAGUUCAUUAUUUGAAAGGAUAAAUGAGAUUAAUAGACCACUAGCUAGAUUAAAAAAGAAAGAGAGACGAUCCAAAUAAGCACAAUCAGAAAUGAUGAAGGUGACAUUAUAACUGAUUCCACAGAAAUAUAAAAUAUCUUCAGAGACUAUUAUGAACACUUCUAGGCACACAAACUAGAAAAUCUAGAGGAAAUGAAUAAGUUCCUGGAAACUCACAAUUUCCCAAGAUUCAAUUAGGAAGAAACUGAAACCCUGAACAGAACAAUAUCAAGAUCUGAAAUUGAAGGAGUAAUAAAAAACCUACCAACCAAUAAAAGCCCUGAAAAGAUGGAUUCACAGCCAAAUUCUAUUAGAUGUACAAAGAAGAGCUGGUACCAAUCCUGCUGAAACUAUUCCAAAAAAUUGAGGAGGGACUCCUCUCUAAUUUGUUCUUUGAAAUCAGCAUAACACCAAUACCAAAACCUGGCAAAGAUACAAUAAAAAGAAAAUGUGGCACAUAUACACCAUGGAAUACUAUGCAGCCAUGAAAAAUGAAGAGUUCAUGUCCUUUG
rnacentral:lncRNA from 1 species